rnacentral:rRNA from 1 species
GACGAACGCUGGCGGCGUGCUUAACACAUGCAAGUCGAACGGAAAGGCCCUGCUUUUGUGGGGUGCUCGAGUGGCGAACGGGUGAGUAACACGUGAGUAACCUGCCCUUGACUUUGGGAUAACUUCAGGAAACUGGGGCUAAUACCGGAUAGGAGCUCCUGCUGCAUGGUGGGGGUUGGAAAGUUUCGGCGGUUGGGGCUGGACUCGCGGCUUAUCCGCUUGUUGGUGGGGUAGUUGCUUACCAAGGCUUUGACGGGUAGCCGGCCUGAGAGGGUGACCGGGCACCUUGGGACUGCGGUACGGCCCAGACUCCUACGGGAGGCAGCAGUGGGGAAUAUUGCACAAUGGGCGGAAGCCUGAUGCAGCAACGCCGCGUGCGGGAUGACGGCCUUCGGGUUGUAAACCGCUUUCGCCUGUGACGAAGCGUGAGUGACGGUAAUGGGUAAAGAAGCACCGGCUAACUACGUG